UUGGGCUUCAGAUCUGAACAUGCUCAAUACUUUGCUCUAGAUAAUAAUGCCUGCAUCACGACUUUAAUUUGCAUUUCCAGAUCUUGGGAAUUGUGGAUAAAAAUUAAGUCAGGCUGCUGUUUCCAGGAAGGAACACUGUGUCUUUCAAAAUUGUAGGGAAAUUGCUAGGCAUUGUUCACCUGAACUGCAGAGAGAACAGGCAUGGGUGAUAUUUGGCAUAACCAGCUUUCUUAUAAGGGUUCCUUCUAGAAAACUUGUAUAAAAUUUGCAUCAACGUUAAGAGCAUGGGCUCUGGAGUUGGACAAGAUAGUCUUAAAAUACCGUGUCAGCCAUCGACUAUCUCUGUGAUUUUAGCAUUUGUUUGCCCUCGGGAUAUCCAGACUCCAGUGAACUGUGCUGUCCGGCCAUCCAGUGCUUAGGCUCUGGCCUCGGAAACGACUGAGUUGACUUCCUAUUCCCUGACUUCCGGCUUUUAGGACCUCAGACCAUUGGAAUUCAUUUCAGAAGACCCAGCUUCCGUUUAUGUUUUAUUUCUGAAUGUAGAACAGAGAAGAAAUCUGAACUUGGAAAACUGAAAUGACUCGUCCACAUUCACACAGCUGUGUUGCUUGUAGAGCCAUGAGCAGAAGUCGUCAUCCUGGUACAGGGCGAAUCGGGCUAAAUAUCCUGUUAAUACUUCUUUCUGCAUCUUUGUGGUUAUCAAUUUCAUGACACUUUCAUUUUCUUGUUAAUCUAGCCUUUAACAAUUGAAAUUACCUUUCAUGCCUCUCAUCACAUUUUAUAUAUCAAUCAUUAACUAUAAAUGUUGUCCUUCCUCUUCAGAAUGGUAGUCCAAAGACAUGAGUUAGAGUCACAAAAUCUGAAAAUCACAUGGUCUGUGAUCUUCUACUUUCUGGAAUUUUAAAAAUUGGAAUCACACCCUCUAAAUAAGGUUUUUUGGUAAGAAUUUUAAUGAAGAACAUUAAAUGAAGAACAUGGAUUAUAACUACAUGGUGCUAAGCAAAUGUCAUCAUAUCAAAUGUUCGUUUUUCUCCAAUCCUGAUUUCAGGAACAAAAAAAGCAGUGAAGUUGGAGCAUAGUGAAUGAUAUGGUUUGGCUCUGUGUCCCCAUCCAAAUCUCAGCUUGUAGCUCCCAUAAUUCCCACAUGUUGUGGGAGGGACCCAACUGGAGAUGAUUGAAUCAUGGGGGCGGGUCUUUCCUGUGAUGCUCUCAUGAUAGCAAAUGGGUCUAACAAGAUAUGAUGGUUUUAAAAAUGGGAGUUUCUCUGCACAGCUCCCUCUUUGCCUGCUGUCAUCUAUG